UUAAGCGACUAAGCGUACACGGUGGAUGCCCUGGCAGUCAGAGGCGAUGAAGGACGUGCUAAUCUGCGAAAAGCGCCGGCGAGGUGAUAUGAACCUUUGACCCGGCGAUGUCCGAAUGGGGAAACCCAGUGUGUUCCGACACACUAUCGUUAACUGAAUACAUAGGUUAACGAGGCGAACCGGGGGAACUGAAACAUCUAAGUACCCCGAGGAAAAGAAAUCAACCGAGAUUCCCCCAGUAGCGGCGAGCGAACGGGGAGCAGCCCAGAGUCUGAAUCAGCUUGUGUGUUAGUGGAAGCGUCUGGAAAGUCGCACGGUACAGGGUGACAGUCCCGUACACGAAAGCACACAGGUUGUGAACUCGAAGAGUAGGGCGGGACACGUGGUAUCCUGUCUGAAUAUGGGGGGACCAUCCUCCAAGGCUAAAUACUCCUGACUGACCGAUAGUGAACCAGUACCGUGAGGGAAAGGCGAAAAGAACCCCGGCGAGGGGAGUGAAAAAGAACCUGAAACCGUGUACGUACAAGCAGUGGGAGCACCUUCGUGGUGUGACUGCGUACCUUUUGUAUAAUGGGUCAGCGACUUAUAUUCUGUAGCAAGGUUAACCGUAUAGGGGAGCCGAAGGGAAACCGAGUCUUAACUGGGCGUUAAGUUGCAGGGUAUAGACCCGAAACCCGGUGAUCUAGCCAUGGGCAGGUUGAAGGUUGGGUAACACUAACUGGAGGACCGAACCGACUAAUGUUGAAAAAUUAGCGGAUGACUUGUGGCUGGGGGUGAAAGGCCAAUCAAACCGGGAGAUAGCUGGUUCUCCCCGAAAGCUAUUUAGGUAGCGCCUCGUGAACUCAUCUUCGGGGGUAGAGCACUGUUUCGGCUAGGGGGCCAUCCCGGCUUACCAACCCGAUGCAAACUACGAAUACCGAAGAAUGUUAUCACGGGAGACACACGGCGGGUGCUAACGUCCGUCGUGAAGAGGGAAACAACCCAGACCGCCAGCUAAGGUCCCAAAGUCAUGGUUAAGUGGGAAACGAUGUGGGAAGGCACAGACAGCCAGGAUGUUGGCUUAGAAGCAGCCAUCAUUUAAAGAAAGCGUAAUAGCUCACUGGUCGAGUCGGCCUGCGCGGAAGAUGUAACGGGGCUAAACCAUGCACCGAAGCUGCGGCAGCGACACUAUGUGUUGUUGGGUAGGGGAGCGUUCUGUAAGCCGUUGAAGGUGGCCUGUGAGGGUUGCUGGAGGUAUCAGAAGUGCGAAUGCUGACAUAAGUAACGAUAAAGCGGGUGAAAAGCCCGCUCGCCGGAAGACCAAGGGUUCCUGUCCAACGUUAAUCGGGGCAGGGUGAGUCGACCCCUAAGGCGAGGCCGAAAGGCGUAGUCGAUGGGAAACAGGUUAAUAUUCCUGUACUUGGUGUUACUGCGAAGGGGGGACGGAGAAGGCUAUGUUAGCCGGGCGACGGUUGUCCCGGUUUAAGCAUGUAGGCGGAGGUUCCAGGUAAAUCCGGUACCUUAUUAACGCUGAGGUGUGAUGACGAGGCACUACGGUGCUGAAGUAACAAAUGCCCUGCUUCCAGGAAAAGCCUCUAAGCAUCAGGUAACAUCAAAUCGUACCCCAAACCGACACAGGUGGUCAGGUAGAGAAUACCAAGGCGCUUGAGAGAACUCGGGUGAAGGAACUAGGCAAAAUGGUGCCGUAACUUCGGGAGAAGGCACGCUGAUAUGUAGGUGAAGCCCCUGCGGGUGGAGCUGAAAUCAGUCGAAGAUACCAGCUGGCUGCAACUGUUUAUUAAAAACACAGCACUGUGCAAACACGAAAGUGGACGUAUACGGUGUGACGCCUGCCCGGUGCCGGAAGGUUAAUUGAUGGGGUUAGCGGCAACGCGAAGCUCUUGAUCGAAGCCCCGGUAAACGGCGGCCGUAACUAUAACGGUCCUAAGGUAGCGAAAUUCCUUGUCGGGUAAGUUCCGACCUGCACGAAUGGCGUAAUGAUGGCCAGGCUGUCUCCACCCGAGACUCAGUGAAAUUGAACUCGCUGUGAAGAUGCAGUGUACCCGCGGCAAGACGGAAAGACCCCGUGAACCUUUACUAUAGCUUGACACUGAACACUGGUCCUUGAUGUGUAGGAUAGGUGGGAGGCUUUGAAGUGUGGACGCCAGUCUGCAUGGAGCCGUCCUUGAAAUACCACCCUUUAAUGGCUGGUGUUCUAACGUAGACCCGUAAUCCGGGUUGCGGACAGUGUCUGGUGGGUAGUUUGACUGGGGCGGUCUCCUCCCAAAGAGUAACGGAGGAGCACGAAGGUUAGCUAAUCCUGGUCGGACAUCAGGAGGUUAGUGCAAUGGCAUAAGCUAGCUUGACUGCGAGAGUGACGGCUCGAGCAGGUGCGAAAGCAGGUCAUAGUGAUCCGGUGGUUCUGAAUGGAAGGGCCAUCGCUCAACGGAUAAAAGGUACUCCGGGGAUAACAGGCUGAUACCGCCCAAGAGUUCAUAUCGACGGCGGUGUUUGGCACCUCGAUGUCGGCUCAUCACAUCCUGGGGCUGAAGUAGGUCCCAAGGGUAUGGCUGUUCGCCAUUUAAAGUGGUACGCGAGCUGGGUUUAGAACGUCGUGAGACAGUUCGGUCCCUAUCUGCCGUGGGCGCUGGAGAAUUGAGGGGGGCUGCUCCUAGUACGAGAGGACCGGAGUGGACGCAUCACUGGUGUUCGGGUUGUCAUGCCAAUGGCACUGCCCGGUAGCUAAAUGCGGAAAAGAUAAGUGCUGAAAGCAUCUAAGCACGAAACUUGCCCCGAGAUGAGUUCUCCCUGAGACUUUAAGUCUCCUGAAGGAACGUUGAAGACGACGACGUUGAUAGGUCGGGUGUGUAAGCGCAGCGAUGCGUUGAGCUAACCGAUACUAAUGAACCGUGAGGCUUAACCUU
rnacentral:rRNA from 1 species